GUUUUAAUAUUUUAAAGUAAAAUUUUGAUCUUGUAAAUCAAAGAUGGCUCUGCCUUAAUUCA
rnacentral:tRNA from 1 species